rnacentral:rRNA from 1 species
UACGGGGGGAGCAAGCGUUGUUCGGAUUUACUGGGCGUAAAGGGCCCGUAGGCGGUCAGCACAAGUCAGUUGUGAAAUCUCCGAGCUUAACUCGGAACGGUCAACUGAUACUGUGCGACUAGAGUGCGGAAGGGGCAACUGGAAUUCUUGGAGUAGCGGUAAAAUGCGUAGAUCUCAAGAGGAACACCGAUGGCGAAGGCAGCUUCUUGGUCCACAUCUGACGCUCAUGCACGAAAGCGUGGGGAGCAAACAGG